CUCUGCUCCAAGUUUUCCAAUUCCUGGGGUGAGGAUUUGUGAGAAACAGUUGGGGUCAGGAGAACAGUGGGAUAUGAUGAGACGCUUUUAACAUUUUUAUUUGCUAUCAGGGGUCUCCUCUUGUCCCAGUUCCCCUGUCCUAGCUUUGCAUAUCACAUUGGGUAGUUUGGUUAACUUUCCAGUGGGG
rnacentral:pre_miRNA from 1 species